rnacentral:rRNA from 1 species
AUUGAACGCUGGCGGCAGGCCUAACACAUGCAAGUCGAGCGAGCGGCGGACGGGUGAGUAAUGUCUGGGAAACUGCCUGAUGGAGGGGGAUAACUACUGGAAACGGUAGCUAAUACCGCAUACCAUCAUAUGUGCCCAAAUGGGAUUAGCUAGUAGGUGGGGUAACGGCUCACCUAGGCGACGAUCCCUAGCUGGUCUGAGAGGAUGACCCGACACACUGGAACUGAGACACGGUCCAGACUCCUACGGGAGGAAGAGGUGGGAAAUAUUGAACAAGGGGCGCAAGCCUGAUGCAGCCAGGCCGCGUGGGUGAAGAAGGCCUUCGGGUUGUAAGGCACUUUCAGCGGGGAGGCGUUACCCGCAGAAGAAGCACCGGCUAACUCCGUGCCAGCAGCCGCGGUAAUUC